rnacentral:rRNA from 1 species
AACGAACGCUGGCGGCAUGCCUAACGCAUGCAAGUCGAACGAGACCUUCGGGUCUAGUGGCGCACGGGUGCGUAACGCGUGGGAACCUGCCCUUAGGUUCGGAAUAACUCCCCGAAAGGGGUGCUAAUACCGGAUAAUGUCUUCGGACCAAAGAUUUAUCGCCUUUGGAUGGGCCCGCGUUGGAUUAGCUAGUUGGUAGGGUAAAAGCCUACCAAGGCGACGAUCCAUAGCUGGUCUGAGAGGAUGAUCAGCCACACUGGGACUGAGACACGGCCCAGACUCCUACGGGAGGCAGCAGUGGGGAAUAUUGGACAAUGGGCGAAAGCCUGAUCCAGCAAUGCCGCGUGAGUGAUGAAGGCCUUAGGGUUGUAAAGCUCUUUUACCCGGGAUGAUAAUGACAGUACCGGGAGAAUAAACUCCGGCUAACUCCGUG